AUCGAACGCUGGCGGCAGGCCUAACACAUGCAAGUCGAACGAGUGGCGGACGGGCGAGCAAUGUCUGGGCACGUGCCUGAUGGAGGGGGCUAACUACUGGAAACGGUAGCUACAACUGCAUACCAUCGGUUCUGCCCUGAUGGGAUUAGCUAGGAGGUGGGGUAAAGGCUCACCUCGGCGACGCUCCCUAGCUGGUCUGCGAGGAGGACCAGCCACAGUGGGACUGAGAAACGGUCCAGACUCCUACGGGAGGCAGCAGUGGGGAAUAUUGCGCAAUGGGCGAAAGCCUGAUGGAGCCAUGCCGCGUGUAUGAAGAAGGCCUUCGGGUUGUAAAGUACUUUGAGCGGGGAGGCGUUACCCGCAGAAGAAGCACCGGCUAACUCCGUGCCAGCAGCCGCGGUAAUAC
rnacentral:rRNA from 1 species